AGUGAACGCUGGCGGUAGGCCUAACACAUGCAAGUCGAACGGCAGCACAGUAAGAGCUUGCUCUUACGGGUGGCGAGUGGCGGACGGGUGAGGAAUACAUCGGAAUCUGCUUUUUCGUGGGGGAUAACGUAGGGAAACUUACGCUAAUACCGCAUACGACCUACGGGUGAAAGUAGGGGAUCUUCGGACCUUGCGCGAUUGAAUGAGCCGAUGUCGGAUUAGCUAGUUGGCGGGGUAAAGGCCCACCAAGGCGACGAUCCGUAGCUGGUCUGAGAGGAUGAUCAGCCACACUGGAACUGAGACACGGUCCAGACUCCUACGGGAGGCAGCAGUGGGGAAUAUUGGACAAUGGGCGCAAGCCUGAUCCAGCCAUACCGCGUGGGUGAAGAAGGCCUUCGGGUUGUAAAGCCCUUUUGUUGGGAAAGAAAAGCAGCAGGUUAAUACCCCGCUGUUCUGACGGUACCCAAAGAAUAAGCACCGGCUAACUUCGUG
rnacentral:rRNA from 1 species